GUUCAUCCCCUCUCAGCCCCCUACCCUCCCUUGGACACUCCGGAAACAGCCACAGGGUCCUUCCUGUUCCAGGGGGAGCCAGAGGGCGGUGAGGGGGACCAGCCCCUCUCAGGGUAUCCUUGGUUCCACGGGAUGCUCUCUCGGCUCAAGGCUGCACAGUUGGUGCUGACUGGCGGCACUGGCUCCCACGGUGUCUUCCUGGUGCGCCAGAGUGAGACAAGGCGGGGUGAAUACGUCCUCACCUUCAACUUCCAGGGCAAGGCCAAGCACCUGCGUUUGUCGCUGAACGAGGAGGGUCAGUGCCGGGUCCAGCACCUGUGGUUCCAGUCCAUUUUCGAUAUGCUCGAGCACUUCCGGGUGCACCCCAUCCCUUUGGAGUCGGGAGGCUCCAGUGAUGUUGUCCUUGUCAGCUAUGUCCCAUCCUCCCAGCGACAGCAGGGCCGGGAGCAGGCUGGGAGCCAUGCGGGGGUGUGCGAGGGAGAUGGAUGCCACCCCGAUGCCUCCUGCACCCUCAUGCCCUUCGGAGCGAGUGACUGUGUAACCGACCACCUCCCAUGACCCACCCCAGCCCCCUGAACCCCCUUCAUGGACAGAUCCCCCACAGCCUGGGGCAGAAGAGGCGUCGAGGGCGCCAGAAGUGGCGGCAGCAGCAGCCGCAGCAGCCAAAGAGAGGCAAGAGAAAGAGAAAGCGGGCGGUGGAGGGGUCCCGGAAGAGCUGGUCCCCGUGGUUGAGCUGGUCCCCGUGGUUGAAUUGGAAGAGGCCAUAGCCCCAGGCUCAGAGGCCCAGGGCGCUGGGUCUGGUGGGGACGCGGGGGUGCCCCCAAUGGUGCAGCUGCAGCAGUCACCACUAGGGGGUGAUGGAGAGGAAGGGGGCCACCCCAGGGCCAUUAACAACCAGUACUCCUUCGUGUGAGCCAACCCCACCCGCUCCACCCUUUUUAAACCCCCCAGCCCUGCUCGUGAGAUUGGGCUGGGUAGGGACAGAGGAGGCCGAAAUCCCUCCCCCAUGCUUCCUGACCCUUGUUGGCCAAGGGCAUCUUUGAUGGUACAAGCAGAGGCUCGGGAGAGGCUCCCGUCACACACUACAGGUCCCCUCCCCAGGGCAGGGGAUUUGGGCUCCAUGAGCUCCUUGAGGGGCUCUUCUGGUCAGCCCCACCCUGGGGGCCAUUUCCCCAUUAACUACCCCCAGCCCGAGGCAGGGUGAGGGGGAAGGGCUGUCAGUUACAUUAAGGUGGUUGUUGUUGUUGUUUUAAACAAAAUGGAGAAGCAUAAAUAAAUAAAAAGGUUUAUCUCGGUUCUAUCGUG
rnacentral:lncRNA from 1 species